rnacentral:rRNA from 1 species
GACGAACGCUGGCGGCGUGCUUAACACAUGCAAGUCGAACGGUGAUGCUCCAGCUUGCUGGAGUGGAUCAGUGGCGAACGGGUGAGUAACACGUGAGCAACCUGCCCCAGACUCUGGAAUAAGCGCUGGAAACGGCGUCUAAUACUGGAUACGAACUGGCCCGCAUGGGCAUGGUUUGGAAAGUUUUUCGGUUUGGGAUGGGCUCGCGGCCUAUCAGCUUGUUGGUGAGGUAAUGGCUCACCAAGGCGACGACGGGUAGCCGGCCUGAGAGGGCGACCGGCCACACUGGGACUGAGACACGGCCCAGACUCCUACGGGAGGCAGCAGUGGGGAAUAUUGCACAAUGGGCGAAAGCCUGAUGCAGCGACGCCGCGUGAGGGAUGACGGCCUUCGGGUUGUAAACCUCUUUCAGCAGGGAAGAAGCGAAAGUGACGGUACCUGCAGAAGAAGCACCGGCUAACUACGUG